CAUCAUUUAAAGAAAGCGUAAUAGCUCACUGGUCGAGUCGGCCUGCGCGGAAGAUGUAACGGGGCUAAACCAUGCACCGAAGCUGCGGCAGCGACGCUUAUGCGUUGUUGGGUAGGGGAGCGUUCUGUAAGCCUGCGAAGGUGUACUGUGAGGUAUGCUGGAGGUAUCAGAAGUGCGAAUGCUGACAUAAGUAACGAUAAAGCGGGUGAAAAGCCCGCUCGCCGGAAGACCAAGGGUUCCUGUCCAACGUUAAUCGGGGCAGGGUGAGUCGACCCCUAAGGCGAGGCCGAAAGGCGUAGUCGAUGGGAAACAGGUUAAUAUUCCUGUACUUGGUGUUACUGCGAAGGGGGGACGGAGAAGGCUAUGUUGGCCGGGCGACGGUUGUCCCGGUUUAAGCGUGUAGGCUGGUUUUCCAGGCAAAUCCGGAAAAUCAAGGCUGAGGCGUGAUGACGAGGCACUACGGUGCUGAAGCAACAAAUGCCCUGCUUCCAGGAAAAGCCUCUAAGCAUCAGGUAACAUCAAAUCGUACCCCAAACCGACACAGGUGGUCAGGUAGAGAAUACCAAGGCGCUUGAGAGAACUCGGGUGAAGGAACUAGGCAAAAUGGUGCCGUAACUUCGGGAGAAGGCACGCUGAUAUGUAGGUGAAGUCCCUUGCGGAUGGAGCUGAAAUCAGUCGAAGAUACCAGCUGGCUGCAACUGUUUAUUAAAAACACAGCACUGUGCAAACACGAAAGUGGACGUAUACGGUGUGACGCCUGCCCGGUGCCGGAAGGUUAAUUGAUGGGGUUAGCGGUAACGCGAAGCUCUUGAUCGAAGCCCCGGUAAACGGCGGCCGUAACUAUAACGGUCCUAAGGUAGCGAAAUUCCUUGUCGGGUAAGUUCCGACCUGCACGAAUGGCGUAAUGAUGGCCAGGCUGUCUCCACCCGAGACUCAGUGAAAUUGAACUCGCUGUGAAGAUGCAGUAUACCCGCGGCAAGACGGAAAGACCCCGUGAACCUUUACUAUAGCUUGACACUGAACAUUGAGCCUUGAUGUGUAGGAUAGGUGGGAGGCUUUGAAGUGUGGACGCCAGUCUGCAUGGAGCCGACCUUGAAAUACCACCCUUUAAUGUUUGAUGUUCUAACGUUGGCCCCUAAUCGGGGUUGCGGACAGUGUCUGGUGGGUAGUUUGACUGGGGCGGUCUCCUCCUAAAGAGUAACGGAGGAGCACGAAGGUUGGCUAAUCCUGGUCGGACAUCAGGAGGUUAGUGCAAUGGCAUAAGCCAGCUUGACUGCGAGCGUGACGGCGCGAGCAGGUGCGAAAGCAGGUCAUAGUGAUCCGGUGGUUCUGAAUGGAAGGGCCAUCGCUCAACGGAUAAAAGGUACUCCGGGGAUAACAGGCUGAUACCGCCCAAGAGUUCAUAUCGACGGCGGUGUUUGGCACCUCGAUGUCGGCUCAUCACAUCCUGGGGCUGAAGUAGGUCCCAAGGGUAUGGCUGUUCGCCAUUUAAAGUGGUACGCGAGCUGGGUUUAGAACGUCGUGAGACAGUUCGGUCCCUAUCUGCCGUGGGCGCUGGAGAACUGAGGGGGGCUGCUCCUAGUACGAGAGGACCGGAGUGGACGCAUCACUGGUGUUCGGGUUGUCAUGCCAAUGGCACUGCCCGGUAGCUAAAUGCGGAAGAGAUAAGUGCUGAAAGCAUCUAAGCACGAAACUUGCCCCGAGAUGAGUUCUCCCUGACUCCCUGAGAGUCCUGAAGGAACGUUGAAGACGACGACGUUGAUAGGCCGGGUGUGUAAGCGCAGCGAUGCGUUGAGCUAACCGGUACUAAUGAACCGUGAGGCUUAACCUU
rnacentral:rRNA from 2 species